CUCGUACCAUUUUGAUUCCGUACCAUUGUUGUUAUUUUAAUUAUGUGAGUUGGUAGUUUCACCCACUGAUUUGAAAUCAUCGAGCCUUGGGCAGCCUCAUGCAUUUCGGAAGCACCAAUAUGCAGCGCCCUGAGGAACUCAUCAUGACUCUUCUUUGCUGAUUCUGCCACAUCUCUUGGGUUCGAGUCCUUCCCUUCGAAGAGGAGCAAGUUGCGCACUGUCUAGAGCUCAAUGAGACAAUAAUAGAAAAGGCCUUGUGAUUCGGGCUCCAGAGCUUUAUGCAAACUUUCAAUCCAUUCGAGGGCCUCCAUUCCUUGGUUCUCCGACGAUCUAAUCGCAAGGGAGCAGUUAAACCAGAAGCUCCGAGCGAAUUCGCAGUUCUUGAUCAGGUUUAGUCUUGUUGGCAGUGACUUGUUGAGGAUCCUCCAAGUAUAAUUGAUGGCUCUUGGGUGAGCCGAAGCCUUCCAGAGACUUUUCCAGCGGGGUGUUUCCUGGCUAGAGGGAUAUGCUACUAUGUUGGGACCUGUUGUACUUCAUGAUUCUGUUUGGUACGAGGUUUGUGGUUGAAAGAUUAAUGAAACAGGAUCAAAUUGAGAAAAGCAGUACAAUGGCGGGAUUUUCACAAUGGACGGAUGAGGCACUACACUCCUUAUUAUCCUAGGAGGGAAUUGGCUUUAGAGGAGAAAAGAGUUUUUAAAAAUUUAGAGAACUUUGAUUUCUAAGUGUGUUAGUUAGAGUUCUUGAACUAUCUACUAUUAUUAAAAUCUAUAAAUGAUUUUACGAAAUUUCUAAUCUCUAAGUCUAAACAUAGUAAUUCCAUAGCCUUAUUUUGUAACAAGUUUUUUUCUACAA